GACGAACGCUGGCGGCGUGCCUAAUACAUGCAAGUCGAACGCAGUGGGGACGGGUGAGUGACACGUGGGUAACCUGCCAUCAGAGGGGAUAACACUUGGAAACAGGCGCAAAUCCGAUACUGAUGGAUGGACGCGCGGUGCAUUAGCUAGUUGGUGAGGGAACGGCUCACCAAGGCGACGAUGCAUAGCCGACCUGAGAGGGUGAUCGGCCACACUGGGACUGAGACACGGCCCAGACUCCUACGGGAGGCAGCAGUAGGGAAUCUUCGGCAAUGGACGAAAGUCUGACCGAGCAACGCCGCGUGAGUGAAGAAGGUUUUCGGAUCGUAAAACUCUGUUGUUAGAGAAGCGGUAUCUAACCAGAAAGCCACGGCUAACUACGUGCCAGCCGCCGCGGUAAUUC
rnacentral:rRNA from 1 species